GGCUGCCAUCUUACAUCCACCAGCCCACGGCGUGAGUGACCUCAACCAUUUUCCGGGCGGCUGUGCCAUCAUACAUCUCACCAGCCCGGCGUGAGUGAUCUCCAACCUGUUUCCCGGGCGGCUGUGCCAUCUUACAUCCCACCAGCCCAGCGUGAGUGAUCUCCAACCUGUUUUCGGGUGUGGCUGUGUGCCAUCUUACACAUCCCUAGCCGAGCG
rnacentral:lncRNA from 1 species